UAAUUCCUAUAAAUGCAGCUGGAAGAUAGCUGACAGGAAAUAAUAGGGAUAAGCUUGUCUCCCUCUUCCUGUCUGCGAGUUCAGUUACUAUGUGUGUAAGACUUACGGGCUUUAAUUCUGGUCUGUAGGAAAGUACCUCAAUCCACUUGGGUUUGAAGACAUCUGAAGAUGUUCGGGAUGUUUGAGUGCUGGUGAAGAUCAGACUACAGACUCUUCUAAGUGGAUGGUCUCCAUUCCUCCUGUCAAGGUGAAAAAGGAAAUUAACUUGGGUCUCCCAUACUCCAGGCUAACGUGAAGCCUUGGGAAGAGUCCACUGCAUUCCUGUCCACCUCUGCAGCUUGGUGUGGAUCACCUAGAGAUGACUGAAGAUACUUUGUGCCCUCCUUGCUGCUCCAACCUCUGCAAUUGUACUGCUUUUUUAAGGUAACAUAACUUGACCAUCAUGCUGUCUGCUUACCUACAAGUAUUAGCCAAAACCGGUUAAAAAAAUACACCAACAAACUGCUUUCGUGUUCUCGGAUUCACGAAUUAUGGCCUUUGCAUUGCAUUCAUG
rnacentral:lncRNA from 1 species